rnacentral:tRNA from 1 species
GAGGGUAUACCUCAGUGGUAGAGUACAUGCUUAGCAUGCACGAGAUCCUGGGUUCAAUCCCCAGUACCUCCU